GACGAACGCUGGCGGCGUGCCUAAUACAUGCAAGUCGAACGCAGUGGGGACGGGUGAGUAACACGUGGGUAACCUCCCAUCAGAGGGGAUAACACUUGGAAACAGGUGCUAAACCGAUACUGAUGGAUGGACCCGCGGUGCAUUAGCUAGUUGGUGAGGGAACGGCUCACCAAGGCCACGAUGCAUAGGCUAGCCUAGAGGGUGAACGGCCAGACGUGGAAGUGGAAACGGCCCAGAACCCGACGGGAGGCAGCAGGAGGGAAUCUUACGCAAUGGGAGAAAGGCUGAGCGGGGAACGCGGGUGGAGGGAAGAAGGGUUUCGGAUCGGAAAACUUUGUUGUUAGGGAAGCGGUAUCUAACCAGAAAGCCACGGCUAACUACGUGCCAGCAGCCGCGGUAAUUC
rnacentral:rRNA from 1 species